rnacentral:lncRNA from 1 species
CAGUGUUAGAGGUGAAACCCACGCAGAGCCAUGAGAAUGACAGACAAAUGAUUUGCUGUUGCAUUGCACAGCCAUCUUAAACCCUGAUGUCAUAAAACUCAGUCUCCUGAAGAGAAAACCUGCGGGAUUCUUAGACAUAGGAAGGUCCACACAGGCUUCAACAGAGGAGUGUGGACACGAUGAAUGAUUCCUAGAGUGGUACAUUGUGGGAUCUUGCUAAGACCAGUGGCAGACACCAUUUUUGACAAUAUUUUCUCAUAGUUUGGUAUGCAGCGAGAAUGCUCCUUUGAUAAAUUGCUUAUGUAAGUCACUCUCUUUAUUAGUCAAGUAAUCUGAAAUAUAAAUUAUAAGCUUUUCAAGUAUUUGUUUUUUCACAUCUAGAAACUAAUGACUUUGGUUACUCUGGAGACUAUUAUGGCAGAUUUUUCUGCAAAUGACUAUUUAAAUGAGUUUUCAGUAUGGGAAAAAUAUGUCACUUGUAAGUAAUGUAUUCUGAUUAUUUUCUAAUGUUGAUAGUCAUUAAUAAAAAUCAUUUUCAGCCAUUUAGGUCAUAUUAAACUGUUAAAUUCAUUAUUAUUUAAUUAUAUUAAAUUUGUGUGACUCAAAAAUAACCAGGGGAUCUGAAUUCAAAAAAGAUAAUAUAAAAACAACAAGUAACUCGUGUGUUUUCUGUCUACCUGUGGCAAUCAUUGCUAAUUAGGAGAGUUAGAAAAUCAGAUGCUCACUAACCUUGUGUGCUAGGGAACCUAUCUCAACUUUCCUCUUUAUAAAAUUGAACCUAUUAAGAUGUGACUAAUCUAUAUCACAAGAUUUCUUUUGGUGCUAAGCAG